AUACGUAGGUGGCAAGCGUUGUCCGGAUUUACUGGGUGUAAAGGGCGUGUAGGCGGAGAUGCAAGUCAGGAGUGAAAUCUAGGGGCUCAACCCCUAAACUGCUUUUGAAACUGUAUCCCUUGAGUAUCGGAGAGGCAGGCGGAAUUCCUAGUGUAGCGGUGAAAUGCGUAGAUAUUAGGAGGAACACCAGUGGCGAAGGCGGCCUGCUGGACGACAACUGACGCUGAGGCGCGAAAGCGUGGGGAGCAAACAGGAUGAGAUACCCUGGUAGUCCACGCUGUAAAUGAUGAAUACUAGGUGUGGGGGGACUGACCCCCUCCGUGCCGCAGUUAACACAAUAAGUAUUCCACCUGGGGAGUACGAUCGCAAGAUUGAAACUCAAAGGAAUUGACGGGG
rnacentral:rRNA from 1 species